UCCCUCUCAGGGUCGCACCUGGUGAGUUUCCAGUCCUCUACCAGUCUCGGCUAUGGGAGGAAGAGUCAAGCAGAGGCCUACCCAUUCCAUUCCUAGCUUGGGCAGAGGCUAGCGAGUGGGAAGCAAUUUGCUACAAGU